rnacentral:rRNA from 1 species
AGCGAACGCUGGCGGCAGGCCUAACACAUGCAAGUCGAACGAACCUUUCGGGGUUAGUGGCGGACGGGUGAGUAACACGUGGGAACGUGCCUUUAGGUUCGGAAUAACUCAGGGAAACUUGUGCUAAUACCGAAUGUGCUCUUCGGGGGAAAGAUUUAUCGCCUUUAGAGCGGCCCGCGUCUGAUUAGCUAGUUGGUUGAGGUAAUGGCUCACCAAGGCGACGAUCAGUAGCUGGUCUGAGAGGAUGAUCAGCCACAUUGGGACUGAGACACGGCCCAAACUCCUACGGGAGGCAGCAGUGGGGAAUCUUGCGCAAUGGGCGAAAGCCUGACGCAGCCAUGCCGCGUGAAUGAUGAAGGUCUUAGGAUUGUAAAAUUCUUUCACCGGGGACGAUAAUGACGUUACCCGGAGAAGAAGCCCCGGCUAACUUCGUG